rnacentral:rRNA from 1 species
GACGAACGCUGGCGGCGUGCUUAACACAUGCAAGUCGAGCGGAAAGGCCCCUUCGGGGGUACUCGAGCGGCGAACGGGUGAGUAACACGUGGGUAAUCAACCCCUGACAUCGGGAUACCCCGGGGAAACCCGGAUCAAUACCGGAUAAGGUGCGGAGGCGCAGGCCGCCGUACCAAAGGUAGCUUCGGCUUCCGGUCAGGGACGAGCCCGCGGCCCAUUAGCUUGUUGGUGGGGUAAUGGCCCACCAAGGCGACGCUGGGUAGCUGGUCUGAGAGGACGAUCAGCCACACUGGGACUGAGACACGGCCCAGACUCCUACGGGAGGCAGCAGUGGGGAAUCUUGCGCAAUGGGCGGAAGCCUGACGCAGCAACGCCGCGUGCGGGAAGAAGGCCUUAGGGUCGUAAACCGCUUUCAGGGGGGACGAAGCUUCCGGGGUUAAUAGCCUACGGGGUGACGGUACUCCCAGAAGAAGGUCCGGCUAACUACGUGCCAGCAGCCGCCGUAA